rnacentral:tRNA from 2 species
AAAGAUCUAGUUUAUUACUUUCAAAUAUUGGAUUGUCAGUCCAAAGAUUACUUCUUUA